UACGUAGGGUGCAAGCGUUAAUCGGAAUUACUGGGCGUAAAGCGUGCGCAGGCGGUUGUGCAAGACAGAUGUGAAAUCCCCGGGCUUAACCUGGGAACUGCAUUUGUGACUGCACGGCUGGAGUGCGGCAGAGGGGGAUGGAAUUCCGCGUGUAGCAGUGAAAUGCGUAGAUAUGCGGAGGAAUAUUGAUGGUGAAGGUAAUUUUUUGGGCCUGCACUGACGCUCAUGCACGAAAGCGUGGGGAGCAAACAGG
rnacentral:rRNA from 1 species